UGCAGUCGAACGGUAGCACAGAGAGCUUGCUCUCGGGUGACGAGUGGCGGACGGGUGAGUAAUGUCUGGGAAACUGCCUGAUGGAGGGGGAUAACUACUGGAAACGGUAGCUAAUACCGCAUAACGUCGCAAGACCAAAGAGGGGGACCUUCGGGCCUCUUGCCAUCAGAUGUGCCCAGAUGGGAUUAGCUAGUAGGUGGGGUAACGGCUCACCUAGGCGACGAUCCCUAGCUGGUCUGAGAGGAUGACCAGCCACACUGGAACUGAGACACGGUCCAGACUCCUACGGGAGGCAGCAGUGGGGAAUAUUGCACAAUGGGCGCAAGCCUGAUGCAGCCAUGCCGCGUGUAUGAAGAAGGCCUUCGGGUUGUAAAGUACUUUCAGCGGGGAGGAAGGUGUUGUGGUUAAUAACCGCAGCAAUUGACGUUACCCGCAGAAGAAGCACCGGCUAACUCCGUGCCAGCAGCCGCGGUAAUACGGAGGGUGCAAGCGUUAAUCGGAAUUACUGGGCGUAAAGCGCACGCAGGCGGUCUGUCAAGUCGGAUGUGAAAUCCCCGGGCUCAACCUGGGAACUGCAUUCGAAACUGGCAGGCUAGAGUCUUGUAGAGGGGGGUAGAAUUCCAGGUGUAGCGGUGAAAUGCGUAGAGAUCUGGAGGAAUACCGGUGGCGAAGGCGGCCCCCCUGCACAAAGACUGA
rnacentral:rRNA from 1 species